CAUUAAGAAGCUUUCAUAAGCAAUAGCCUUUUAA
rnacentral:tRNA from 1 species